rnacentral:snRNA from 1 species
GGUGGCAGAGGGUGGUACAAGCAACAAUCCCCUCGCCUUUUACUAGGGGAUUCCGUGUGCCGCCCUCACAUCCAUGCCACAUUGGCAAUUUUUCGAGAUACAUGAACUUCUGGUUCAUAC